rnacentral:rRNA from 1 species
GAUGAACGCUAGCGGCAGGCCUAACACAUGCAAGUCGAGGGGCAGCACAGAAACAGCAAUGUUUUGGUGGCGACCGGCGGACAAGUGCGUAACGCGUAUGCAACCUACCUUUAACAGGGGGAUAACGGAGAGAAAUUUCCACUAAUACCCCAUAACAUCGAUCAAGGCAUCUUGAUUGGUUGAAAACUCCGGUGGUUAAAGAUGGGCAUGCGUUGUAUUAGGUAGUUGGUGAGGUAAUGGCUCACCAAGCCUACGAUACAUAGGGGGACUGAGAGGUUAGCCCCCCACACUGGUACUGAGACACGGACCAGACUCCUACGGGAGGCAGCAGUGAGGAAUAUUGGUCAAUGGGGGCAACCCUGAACCAGCCAUGCCGCGUGCAGGAAGACGGCUCUAUGAGUUGUAAACUGCUUUUAAACAGGGAUAAAGCACAGUAUGUAUACUGUGUUGAAGGUACUGUAAGAAUAAGGAUCGGCUAACUACGUGCCAGCCGCCGCAGUAA